rnacentral:rRNA from 1 species
GACAGAGGUCCCAAGCGUUAGGCGGAAUCACUGGGCUUAAAGCGUGUGUAGGCGGAUCCGUAAGUACCUUGUGAAAUCCCACGGCUCAACCGUGGAACUGCUGGGUAUACUGCGGGUCUUGAGCCACCUAGGGGCGGAGCGGAACAAGUGGUGGAGCGGUGAAAUGCGUAGAUAUCACUUGGAACGCCAAUGGUGAAACAGCUCGCUGGGGUGUGCUGACGCUGAGACACGAAAGCCAGGGAGGCAAACGG